rnacentral:rRNA from 1 species
CAGUAGCCGCGGGAAUACAGAGGGUGCGAGCGUUGUCCGGAAUUAUUGGGCGUAAAGAGCUCGUAGGCGGUUUGUCGCGUCUGCUGUGAAAACGCGAGGCUCAACCUCGCGCCUGCAGUGGGUACGGGCAAACUAGAGUGCGGUAGGGGAGAUUGGAAUUCCUGGUGUAGCGGUGGAAUGCGCAGAUAUCAGGAGGAACACCGAUGGCGAAGGCAGAUCUCUGGGCCGUAACUGACGCUGAGGAGCGAAAGCAUGGGGAGCGAACAGGAUUAGAUACCCGAGUAGUCCCUGUCUCUUAUAC